GCCCUGGUAGCUCAAUUGGUUAGAGCGUCGGACUUUUAUAUUCAUUGAAAAGUGACGUCAUCCGAAGGCUGCGGGUUCGACCCCCGCCUGGGGCG